UACGAAGGGGGCUAGCGUUGCUCGGAAUUACUGGGCGUAAAGGGAGCGUAGGCGGAUAGUUCAGUCAGAGGUGAAAGCCCAGGGCUCAACCUUGGAAUUGCCUUUGAUACUGGCUGUCUUGAGUAUGGGAGAGGUUAGCGGAACUCCGAGUGUAGAGGUGAAAUUCGUAGAUAUUCGGAAGAACACCAGUGGCGAAGGCGACUUACUGGACACAUAUUGACGCUGAGGUGCGAAAGCGUGGGGAGCAAACAGG
rnacentral:rRNA from 1 species